GGCCUAACACAUGCAAGUCGAACGGCAGCACAGUAGGUAGCAAUACCUAUGGGUGGCGAGUGGCGGACGGGUGCGUAAUGUGUAGGGAUCUGCCCUGAAGUGGGGGACAACCCGGGGAAACUCGGGCUAAGACCGCAUAAUACUCUACGGAGGAAAUCUGGCUACGUAAGUAGCUGGAGCUUUAGGAGGAACCUACAUCCGAUUAGCUAGUUGGUGAGGUAAUGGCUCACCAAGGCGAUGAUCGGUAGCUGGUCUGAGAGGAUGACCAGCCACACUGGGACUGAGACACGGCCCAGACUCCUACGGGAGGCAGCAGUGGGGAAUAUUGGACAAUGGGGGAAACCCUGAUCCAGCAAUGCCGCGUGGGUGAAGAAGGCCUUCGGGUUGUAAAGCCCUUUAGGUGGGGAAGAAGGUUCUAGGGCGAUAAACCUUAGGAUUUGACGGUACCCA
rnacentral:rRNA from 1 species